rnacentral:rRNA from 1 species
GAUGAACGCUGGCGGCGUGCCUAAUACAUGCAAGUCGAACGAGAUCUUCUGAUCUAGUGGCGAACGGGUGAGUAACGCGUUGGUACCUACCCUGAAGUGGGGAAUAACUGGCCGAAAGGUCGGCUAAUACCGCAUAAUACCGCAAGGUUAAAGUCGUAAGACGCUUCGGGAGGGGCCUGCGUCCAAUUAGCUAGUUGGUGAGGUAACUGCUCACCAAGGCGACGAUGGGUAGCUGGAUCGAGAGGUUGACCAGCCACACUGGGACUGAGAUACGGCCCAGAUUCCUACGGGAGGCAGCAGUAAGGAAUCUUCCACAAUGGGCGAAAGCCUGAUGGAGCAACGCCGCGUGCAGGAUGACGGUCUUCGGAUUGUAUACUGCUUUUAUAUGGGAAGAUUAUGACGGUACCAUAUGAAUAAGCACCGGCUAACUACGUGCCAGCCGCCGCCGUAA